rfam:Ictidomys tridecemlineatus contig023636, whole genome shotgun sequence.
GGGGUUGUAGCUCAGAGGUAGAGUGCUUGCCUAGCACGCAUGGGGCACUGGGUUUGAUCCUCAGCACCA